UCCCUCUUAGCUCAGUUGGUAGAGCGCGUCACUAGUAUCGCAAAUAUUACAAACAGGUCAAUGACGAGGUCAGUCGUUCAAAUCGGCUAGCGGGAA